GGAAGGAUCAUUAACACGUUUAUAACGUUUAUCAACCUUUGUGACAGAGCCCUUUAAGUAGGACUUUGUAGGACUACCAUUUGGCAGUCCUACCCAGACCUAUUGGACUCAACCUUGGGCCUGGUAGGAAUUCGUACUACUACUCUGCCAAGGAUUGAGAAGACACCAUGAACUAUCAUAGCGAUUCGUACUUCGAUUGAGCCCCUAGUACUUUUGACCUAUGUGGGGAAUGGUGUCCUUCUCUUUCUACGGGAGAGCCGCAGCACGCUGACUUAUUGGUAGGAAUUCGUGCUACUUCCCUCUAUGCAGAACCACAUAGAGAUAGUAGCACCCUGACCUAUUGGUAGGAAUUUGUGCCUCAGUAGCACCCUGAACUAUGGGGGCCCAGCAUAAAAAAGCUAUUACAAUCAUUGUAAUAGUGUGUUCCAGUUCUUUGGGUAAUUGGGUUAACACACUCCCUUAUGAUGGCUGUAAUAGUCCACCCUUUUUCACCCCGUUGGAAUUCGACCUUAUACCCCAAAACUUACUUAAACAACUUUGUUUAAAAGAAUUGUCCUAGCGGCAUUCUUCCAAAGCAAAACGUGAACAACUGUUAACAACGGAUCUCUUGGUUCUCGCAACGAUGAAGAACGCAGCGAAAUGCGAUACGUAAUGCGAAUUGCAGAAUUCAGUGAAUCAUCAAAUCUUCGAACGCAGACUGCGGUUUUGGGAUAACCCUGAAACCACGCUUCUUUCAGUGUCGACUUACCCCUAAUCUGCCGCGUGCUGGUUCGCAUGGCGAUGCAGGAUAAUGAAUGUCAUGCUGCUCGUCGGUAUGUCAUUUGAAGUUCACUUGGGAAAUUGAUUAUUCAUUUUCAUCAGUGCUCAAUUCUAUAUUGACAAACUGGAUACUUUUCCCUUUACGGGAAUUCCAACUUGUCUUAUAGGGUUUGAUAAAAGUGAUUCUCAAAAUCUUGAGGUUUGGCGAACAUGGCUACCCUGUUCACUUUCAAUCUAGACCUGAAAUGAAGCGAGACUACCCGCUGAAUUUAAGCAUAUUAUUAAGCGGAGGAAAAGAAACUAACAAGGAUUCCCCUAGUAACGGCGAGUGAAGCGGGAAGAGCUCAAAAUGAAAAUCGGUUUCCCAAACGGGCCGCCGAGUUGUAAUCUAAAGACGCGUGGUCUGCGUGCGACCUGGGUAUAAGUCCUUUGGAACAGGGCAUCAUAGAGGGUGAGAAUCCCGUUUAUGACCUGGAGUUCGCCGCGUACGAUACGCGUUCGACGAGUCGUGUUGCCUGGGAUCGCAACACUAAAUGGGUGGUAAAUCUCAUCUAAAGCUAAAUACUGGCGAGAAACCGAUAGCGAACAAGUAGUGUGAACGAAAGAUGAAAAGAACUUUGAAAAGAGAGUUAAAAAGUACGUGAAAUUGUUAACAGGAAAGUUAUGGAAACCAGUCUAUCCAGAGGUAUAUUUACUAACUAAUCGGUCGCGGCGCAAGAGUAUGGCGGCUUUACGGCCCUGUUUCUUGCAUCGGUCAGAUUCGGGUAGUUGGGUACUGUAUCUCAGGCUGUGUCAGCAUCUCUUUGGGGUGCCGGAGAAGCCCUUCAGGAAGGUAGUAUUCAUGCAGUUUCGGCUGCAAGUUUAUGUUAAGCCUUUUGGGUUUACGGUGGCCUGGAGAGAGGAAAAGAUAAGGCACUCUACGGCACCAAGGCUCGGGGUGUCGCUCUAACUGGACAGCAAAGCUGUGCUUUUGGAACGAUGUCUUGUAUGCUGAGGAUUCGCUAGUCGUGUCUUAGCGAUGUUGACGAAAUGGUUUCCAUUGACCCGUCUUGAAACACGGACCAAGGAGUCUAACAUAUAUGCGAGUAUUUGGGUGUGUAAAACCCUAAUGCGAAAUGAAAGUAAAGGGGCCUUGUGCCCUGAGGUAGGAAUCCUUCUCUGGAGGGAGGCACUAUCGACCGAUCGCCGCUUGCGGUAGAUUUGAGUAAGAGCAUAUCUGUUGGGACCCGAAAGAUGGUGAUCUAUGCCUGAACAGGGUGAAGCCAGGGGAAACUCUGGUGGAAGCUCGUAGCGAUACUGACGUGCAAAUCGUUCGUCUGAUUUGGGUAUAGGGGCGAAAGACUAAUCGAACCAUCUAGUAGCUGGUUCCCUC
rnacentral:misc_RNA from 1 species